AUACAAGAUGUUAUAGAAAAGGCUGUGAUACAAGGUUUAUAGAAGAGAGAGAGGCGCUGUGAUACAAGAUGUUUAUAGAAAGAGGAGAGGCACUGUGAUACAAGAUGUUAAUAGAAAGAGGAGAGGCACUGUUAUACAAGAUGUUUAUAGAAAGAGGAGAGGCGCUGUUAUACAAGAUGUUUAUAGAAAGAGGCUGUGAUGAGGCUGUUAUACAAGAUGUUUAUAGAAAGAGGAGAGGCGCUGUGAUACAAGAUGUUUGUCUGUUUUUUUAAGCAAAACUUCCUUUUUGCCUGAGUAACCUCU
rnacentral:lncRNA from 1 species